rnacentral:lncRNA from 1 species
ACCUAUAAUAAUAAACUCUUUAUAGUGAUCAUGCAAGUCAGAGAUAAUUAUAUGGUCCAGAAAAAUAUCUUCUUUCAUGUAUACAAAUACAGGCUUGUGUCAUAUUUUGAGGUAUGCAUUUGUUUAUUUCUACUUUUUGUUCUAAGGUCUUCGAGAAGCAGUCCUUUGACUUUCAGUACAUCAUAAACAGAAGAAGGCGGUGGAAAUUUUUUUCAGGAGAAAUUGCACAAGCAGGGACUGGAAUGGAUGCGUCUGCUUGCCAAGAACUUAAGCCACCUGCCUGUACCCCUUGCUGCAAGAAGACUGGAGAAAGUUGGUAUCAGAAUGAGCGAGAGGGCACCGACCUGGAGAACCUGCCAGUUUCCUGCGUCCUUACAAAAAUUCAUCGUGAGACUUCAGGCAAGGUACUUAACCUCUCUCACUAAUCCAUGUUCCUAAUACUUAACGUGAGGAUUUGGGACGCCGUAAAUUCCAAAAAUCUUUAUAGUAAUACAAAUCUGUGUCUGCUCUAGUUAGAGCUCUGGCUUCUAGUGAUGGAACC